rnacentral:lncRNA from 1 species
GGCACCUUAAAGAUCGCCCAGGUCCAACCCCACUGCCAUGGGCAGGAAAUCUUCCACUUGACCAGAUUGCUCCAAGACCCAUUCAAUGGUGGCCUUUUCAUAAUCAUUUAGGUGUUUAAAAUUGAGACCCUAGAAUCUGUGGUAGUUCUAGGCAAUUUGGAAUGCAGGACUACCUCAUUCAUUCACAUCAGCUUUUGACCUCAGUAUCCACAUCCAGAAUACUAGGAUACUAAUAAAAGCUACUACCCUUGGUAUUUCUAAUAAAUACGUGAGAAAAGUUAUAAGAAGGAAGGUUUCAGUCCCCUCAAGAAAUACCAG